rnacentral:rRNA from 1 species
GAUGAACGCUGGCGGCGUGCCUAAUACAUGCAAGUCGAGCGAACAGACGAGGAUCUUGCUCCUCUGACGUUAGCGGCGGACGGGUGAGUAACACGUGGAUAACCUACCUAUAAGACUGGGAUAACUUCGGGAAACCGGAGCUAAUACCGGAUAAUAUAUUGAACCGCAUGGUUCAAUAGUGAAAGACGGUUUUGCUGUCACUUAUAGAUGGAUCCGCGCCGCAUUAGCUAGUUGGUAAGGUAACGGCUUACCAAGGCAACGAUGCGUAGCCGACCUGAGAGGGUGAUCGGCCACACUGGAACUGAGACACGGUCCAGACUCCUACGGGAGGCAGCAGUAGGGAAUCUUCCGCAAUGGGCGAAAGCUUGACGGAGCCACGCCGCGUGAGUGAUGAAGGUCUUCGGAUUGUAAAACUCUGUUAUUAGGGAAGAACAAAUGUGUAAGUAACUAUGCACGUCUUGACGGUACCUAAUCAGAAAGCCACGGCUAACUACGUG